rnacentral:lncRNA from 1 species
AAAUGUAACAACUUGAACAAGGGUGAUCAGUUACUAAGAGGAGUAUUUAAUCUCCUGAGAAGAAAAUAUACAGAGCAUAGCUAUUAUAUUUACAGAAAUAUAUUUAACUGUUUGUAACAUAUGCCAGUUUAGAGCUCAUAGUGCAUAUAAUAAAAUUCCAGCAGAGCGAAAAUGACUGUUAGAUACAAUAGAACACUCUAAGAGUCAUUAUCAAAAAUGAGCAUAUCGGUGUGUAAAAUGUAUGGUAGUUUUAUUUAACGGUUGUUUCAUUGUUUACCGUAGUGUUAAAAGAAAAUUGACUUGUUUAGUGGAUAUAGAAACUUGAAACUAGACCAUGUACUGGAAACAAUUCAGUAUGCCUACAAAAGUUGGUCUCCAGCACAAAACAAUAAAACAUCAAAUGGUUAUGUCUUAGGCAGAUCAAAUAGUGUUAGGAUGACACUUGCAAAACCUUGCAAACUGAGUCCACAUGAGAAGCCAGAUAAUCAAGAUUCCUUAGAUGAGCGUAAGUCCUCUUCAACAGAAGAUGCCACAUUAUGUCCUCAUCCAACAGGAUUUAUGUAUGAACAG